rnacentral:rRNA from 1 species
CCCCUUAGAGUUUGAUCCUGGCUCAAGACGAACGCUGGCGGCGUGCUUAACACAUGCAAGUCGUACGGUAAGGCCCUUUCGGGGGUACACGAGUGGCGAACGGGUGAGUAACACGUGAGUAACCUGCCCACAACUUUGGGAUAACGCUAGGAAACUGGUGCUAAUACUGGAUAUGUGCUCCUGCUGCAUGGUGGGGGUUGGAAAGCUCCGGCGGUUGUGGAUGGACUCGCGGCCUAUCAGCCUGUUGGUGGGGUAGUGGCCUACCAAGGCGGCGACGGGUAGCCGGCCUGAGAGGGUGACCGGCCACAUUGGGACUGAGAUACGGCCCAGACUCCUACGGGAGGCAGCAGUGGGGAAUAUUGCACAAUGGGCGCAAGCCUGAUGCAGCAACGCCGCGUGCGGGAUGACGGCCUUCGGGUUGUAAACCGCUCUCAGCAGGGACGAAGCUUUUUGUGACGGUACCUGCAAAAGAAGCACCGGCUAACUACGUGCCAGCAGCCGCGGUGAUACGUAGGGUGCGAGCGUUGUCCGGAUUUAUUGGGCGUAAAGGGC